UUCUAUUUGUUUUGCAAAGAAGAAAGAAAAAGAGAACAAAAAUAAACGAAGAGAGAAAAAAAGAAAAUCGAGAAAUCACCUCUUUGAUUUUUUUUUUGUAUUCAGUAUCUGUAAAAAAAAAUCCUUAGUACAUACUCCUUUGGCCCUUUUAUAGCCAAAAUCGAAAAAUUACAAUAAAUAAAAUAAAAUAAAUCUAUUAUUCACUGGCCCC
rnacentral:lncRNA from 1 species